rnacentral:rRNA from 1 species
AACGAACGCUGGCGGCAUGCCUAACACAUGCAAGUCGAACGAGACCUUCGGGUCUAGUGUCGCACGGGUGCGUAACGCGUGGGAACCUGCCCUUAGGUUCGGAAUAACUCCCCGAAAGGGGUGCUAAUACCGGAUAAUGUCUUCGGACCAAAGAUUUAUCGCCUUUGGAUGGGCCCGCGUUGGAUUAUCUAGUUGGUAGGGUAAAAGCCUACCAAGGCGACGAUCCAUAGCUGGUCUGCGAGGAUGAUCAGCCACACUGGGACUGAGACACGGCCCAGACUCGUACGGGAAGAAGCAGUGGGGAAAAAUGGACAAUAGGCGAAAGACUGAACCAGCAAUGACGCGUGAAUGAUGAAGGCCUUAGGGUAGUAAAGCUGUUUUACCCGGGAUGAUAAUGACAAUACAGGGAGAAUAAGCGCGGGGUAACUCCGUG